UACGUAGGCAGCGAGCGUUGUUCGGAAUUACUGGGCGUAAAGGGCGCGUAGGCGGCUGUGUAAGUCAGAUGUGAAAUUCCGGGGCUCAACCCCGGAGCUGCAUUUGAAACUGUAUAGCUAGAGUUCAGUUAGGGUAAACGGAAUUCCACGUGUAGCGGUGAAAUGCGUAGAUAUGUGGAAGAACACCGGUGGUGAAGACGGUUUACUGGGCUGAUACUGACGCUGAGGCGCGAAAGCAUGGGGAGCAAACAGG
rnacentral:rRNA from 1 species